AACUAGGGCCGCUAGAGAGAUGAAAACUGGGGCCCAGGGGUGCUGGGGCCCCUGGCUGCCCCAAACCCUCCUGCUGAGAAGAUGGGUGGUUCUCCUGUCAGUUCUGUCAACAGUUGAACCCAAACAUACUGGACCAGGUAUGUGAGGGCAGUCUCUAAGGAGACUAAGCACAGAUGAUGAUGGUGUCUUCCCUUUGAGAGGAGGAAGGGAGAGUCUUAACAGAGGCAGCCACAGAACUCUGGGGUUGCAGUUCCUCUCUGGGCUAUCCUUAGGUCAAAGUGUUGGGGCCUGUAGGAAAGCUUACCCUGUGAGGCUGAAGAAAGACAAGGAAGUGGAGGAAAACAAUCUUCACUUAUAUGUCUGUUCAGCCAGGAACUGCCCGGCUUCAAAAUUCCUUUACAUGUACCCACUGUGAAAAAUAACGGGAAACUUCACUAAAAUGCAGUGUAGAGGUUCCGGCAGGGGGAGCUCUCCUACACCACUACGCAGCCGUCAAUUGCUGACCCAAGAGGAAGACGCGAGUUGACGGGGCUAGUGGAUACCACUCCACUACUCCAGCCAAAGGACAGUGCUUUCCUCGUCCCCGGGGCAACAGCUCAGCCAAUGAGAAGCCACCAUACUUGGAACUCCCAGUUUACCCCAAUGGACUUUUAGUUUCUAACAGCCUGUCCAACUGACCCCUUUUCUCCUUAAAAAAGCGUACCUCUCCUCUCUUCCCCGGACUUGCCUGUGGUUUUGGUGCAACUUCUUUGUCCCGGAUUACAGUUCUCUUUAAUUACUGAAUAAGCUCGUAAAAUAACUGGCAGUUUUAAUUUUUAAGGUUAAUAAUUACUUGGUGAUCAGAGGUGGCAUCCAGAGAAGACCCCCACCCCCACCCCAGUGCUCCCGGGGCUGGUGAGCAAAUAGGUGCGGUACCCACGGAAAUGUUGCCGCUCACUGCUUUCUCGCCUUCUCUGGGGUUGGAGGGUAAGUGUUUUGGUUUGGGGGGGGGGGUGUUUGUUUUGUUUUUUAAUCUUUGGGAGUACAGUUUGGCCUUUGGUUGGAUUCCUUUUCGGCAUCAGACUGUUCCCUUUGGAGCUGUGCCAGUUCGAACUGUGUUGGCCUUUGUUCCUACUCCCCUUGGGACUGAACUGGUGAAGUGGGAACUGUGCCUGUUGGAACUGCCAUUGGGUCCUAAUCCUGUUUGUAACUGGACUGUUCCUUCAGACACUGCUAGCUAGCCCCUGUCUGAUUCCUUCUGGAACCAGACUGUUCCUGAAAAACUUCUAAGAAAUGGGAUUCCAGUCAUCAAAAUGCUUUGAGGGCACCCCCCUUACUGGGAAUCCAGCUGGUUUUAUGUUUAAAAACUAUGCACACUCUGCAUGCACACUUACAGAUUAAUGGACUGACUUAACCAGAAGUGAUUUAGAACUUCAAUGGCCUAUAUUAUAGGGAACUUUUGAUCUCCCCAAACUUUAGCUUUUUCAAAGCUGAAUUGGACAACCAUGGUUCUAAAAUCGACAAAACUGGGGCGCCUGGGUGGCGCAGUCGGUUAAGCGUCCGACUUCAGCCAGGUCACGAUCUCGCGGUCCGUGAGUUCGAGCCCCGCGUCGGACUCUGGGCUGAUGGCUCAGAGCCUGGAGCCUGUUUCCGAUUCUGUGUCUCCUUCUCUCUCUGCCCCUCCCCUGUUCAUGCUCUGUCUCUCUCUGUCCCAAAAAUAAAUAAACGUUGGAAAAAAAAAUUAAAAAAAAAAAUAAUAAAUAAAUAAAUAAAUAAAUAAAUAAAAUAAAAUCGACAAAACUGAAUAGGACUGAAUAGGAUUCCUGUUUUAAUUGGUAUUUUGACGCUUCCAAAUGCUAUCAGGAAUCUAAAAUCCCUCUCUCCUGACCUUUUGGUAUCUUUCAUCUGACCAUGUCAAAUGUUCCCAUUUAAACUUACCUAGCAUCAUGGUUUAUGAUUUAAAAAAACAAAACAAACCCUCUGGUCCUUAUGUCUAGAGGCACUUUGAAUCUUUCAUGCCAGAUACUGCCUGCAGCAGGACCAAGAAGGUUUUAUGGAAAAUUGGGAUAGUCUCCAUGACCACAGCUAAAUAAAUAAGAAACAACCUACCUUGUGGGUUUUGAAAAGUUUAAAAAUAAUAAUAAAAUAGCCUCCAAGAUACAAUUUAUAAACCAAAUGAGGCAAACAAACAAUUAAAAAGAAAAAAAGGGGCUUCUGAGACCUCUUCUGCCCCUCCCCCAUCUUUCUUGCCUACAGACACAAGGCAGCUUACCUUUGUGCUCAUCUCCUGCCUCCUAAUCAGCUGGGAAAAACUACAGUCAGAUUGGAAAUGAAUCCCUCUCUGUCCUUACUGACACCAGACCUACACUCUGUGCUUAACUCCACUGCUCUAAAGCAGCCCGUGCCUCAGAGGACUAAAAAGCAGCUCAAAUACUGGGGGUUCUCUGAUAAACCUCAACAGAUUCUCAUCUCUGAACCCAUUCCCUUUUUCCCUUUUGGAGAGAUCCACACCCUUUUCUCCUGAGUUCCUCAGCGCCUAUUCAUUUAUUGGGCUGAGCUUUCUUAGAAGAAUAUCAUGCCAGGGGCGCCUGGGUGGCUCAGUCGGUUGAGCAUCUGACUUUGGCUCAGGUCAUGAUCUCACAGUUUGUAGGUUUGAGCCCCGCAUCAGGCUCUGUGCUGACAGCUCAGAGCCUGGAGCCUGCUUUGGAUUCUGUGUCUCCCUCUUUCUCUGCCCCUGCCCCGCUCACACUCUGUCUCUCUCAAAAAUAAACAUUAAAAAAAAAUAUAUAUAUAUAUAUAUUAUAAUAAUAAUAAAAAAAAUAUCAUGCCAGAAUUUCUUUCUCCCAAAAGGGAAAAAUAAUUCUAGAAUUUGACAGUGGUAACAAAAUUAGCGAACAAAAGGAAAUGAAUGACCUUUCAUCAUCUUUUCUAUGCUCUGUCUCUGAUGGCACUAUAGCUGAGUCUGAGGACAGUAAUCAUUUGUUCCUUUUGGAUCAGCUACCACCCUCUUUAUGGGCAAAAUCAUCUACUGAUAUUGGCAGAAUCCACAGUGCACCUCACAUCAAGAUUCAAAUAGGUCCCUCAAAACCACUCUCUAGAAUUAAUCAAUACCCUGUAAAUAAGGAAGCCCUUCAGAGCAGCAAGUCCAUAAUAGAGGGUUAUAAGACUUGGGGCCUGAUUAUCCCCCGUACUAGUCCCUGUAACAACUCUAUUUUACCGUGAGAAAACCCAACAGCCAAGGAUGGAUGUUUGCCCAUGACCUCCAAGCAAUAAGUAACAUUGUUAUCCCUUGGCAUCCAGUUCCCCAUCCUCAUCUACUACUGACAUCCAUUCCCACUGAAAGCAUAUUUUCACUAUCAUUGUCCUAUACAGUGCAUCUUAGUAUCACUGUUGAUAAGGACAUCCGAUAUCUUUGCCUUCAUUUGAGGAGAAUGGCAAUACACCUGGACAGUAAUGGCCCAAGGUUACACAGAGAUUCCUUCCCAUUUCUCACAAAACUUAAAGGCUGAUUUGGAUGAUAGAACGUUUUUUUCCAGGCUCUAAUUUGUUUCAAUAGGCUCAUGACCUGCUUCUCUGCUCCCCUUCUCAAACCUCUUCACCAGAAGAGUUAAAACUCCUGUUAAAACUCUUGGCUUUAAAGGGACAUAGAGUGUCCAAAGAAAAAUUGCAGUUUGUUCAAACUCAGGUUCAAUUAUUUAGGACACCUGAUCUCAGAACAAGGACUAGAUUUGGGUCCAGGUAGAUUUCAAGGCUUCCUGAAUUUCCCAAAACCUAAAACUAAGCAAUUUCUUGAACUGGCUGGCUAUUACCACAAUUGGAUUCCAAAUUUCUCUGAUAUGGCUCAGCCUCUAUGUGCUUUACUAAAAAACAACAUCCCUAUCCCUGUUAUUUGGAAAGAGGGGGAUGACAUAGCCUUUGGGACUUUAAAGGUCUAACAAAACUCCCUGCCCUUGGAAUCCUAAUUAUCAACUUCCCUUUUUCCUCUUUGUAUGUGAAAGGGAACGAACUGCCCUUGGAGUGCCCACCCAAAAGCACAGGGACCAUCAUCGCCCUGUGAGGAUUAUAGCCAACAACUGGACUGGAUAUCCUCUAUGGAUCCCUUGCCUAAGAGCCAUUCCUGCCACUGCCCUUUUAGUUAAGGCCACUGCAGAAAUAGUCACGGGGUCCCCUUUAACCAUCCUUGUGCCACCAAACUCCAAGGAAUAGACUCUUGGAUCUUUGUGACACAUGUAAAGAAAGCACCAAACCCUAGCUCGACCUGCACACCCACCAUCUGGUGACCUGAAAGUAAAGAUUUCUCAGAAUUGAAACAGACAACAUCUGGACAGAUGGCUUUCUCAAGAUGUCUGGACCAGGCCUAUACACCUUUUCACACUGUUGCUUCUAUCUCUGUUGAGGAAAGAAAAUGCCCUUUGUCUGCAUUUCCCAAUGUCUUGCAAAAGGAGGAAACCUUUGAUUAUGAGCUUUUCAUAAACAGCCACAUAAUAAUCCUGUGAGCAUUUCUGAAGGGUUAGAAGAUUCAGAAUUCAUGAUAGUCUUUUAUCUGAACUAUUAACUGACUCUGGAUUCUUACCCCAAUUCACGGUUUCUGAAUUUACAACUUUACAGACUACUGCUGAAUAACACAUAUGGUUCUAAACAGUUCUUUUGAAGUAACAGUGUUAUUUUCCCUUAAUCUACCUUUGAAGUUUUGCUAUUCUUGCAAAAAAGUUCAUCAGCUGUUGCUUUGUGUUUAUACAUUAUGCUGUAUCUUCCCAAAUGCGCUCUGUUUUUUCAUUCAGUGCACUCCCACAGUAUUUCACUAUUUUGCCUCAUAGUCACUUUAAGAGGGGACCUCCAGGAGGUAUACAUGACUUCGGGUUUGCCUUCAUAGGGGAAACCUUACUUCCCUAAGCCCAGAUAAGCGCCAAUAAAUAUUUUCAGUUGGCUACUUUCAGACCUUGGGUCCUGGUUUUAAACCAACGUAGAGUUUGGAAUUGUUGUGUUGCUUCUAAUUCCAUACUUGUCUGUCAAUCUUUUGCAGAAAGGAGGUGCCCUUGCAGAAAGGAAGAUACAGACUUCCAAUGAAAAGUGCCUGAGAGUUUCUUCCUUCUAACCUUCCCUGUUAUUCCAGUGUGGCUUAAGUGACUUCCAACUGCUAUGCACUUUCCGUCCGACGUUAGACAUGACAACCAGGAAAGGUUCUUCUUGGAGCUGAGAGGAAAAAAACACUAAAUAUAAAGAACCUGACUAUUGAUCAAUUAUGCCUUCAAGGAAAGAUCGAAAGGGUGAAAUGUGAGAAAUAAUAACUGGGAAACCUCACUAAAAUGGAGCCCAGAGGUUUCUGCAGGGGGACCUCUCACGCCCUACCACACAAAGUUAACUGUAGACCCAACAGGAAGAGAUGGACUUGACCUUACGUGGACUUGACCUUGCAUGUAGAUACACUCUACUACUCCAGCCAAAGGGAGAGAUUUUUUCCUCAUCCCCAGGCAACAGGUUAGCCAAUGAGAACCCCCCAUACUUGGAACACCCGGUUUUCUCCAAUGGACUUUUAGUUUAUAACAGCCUUCCCCAGUUAUGCCUUUUCUCCUUAAAAGAGUCUACCUCUCUCCAUCGUUCCCCAGACUUGCCUAUGGUUUUGCCUCAGCUUGUUUGUCCCAGAUUGUUAUUCUCUUUUAUUCCUGAAUAAAGCCAUUUUUGCUGGUAAAAUAAACUGGGAGUUUUUAUUUUUAAGGUUAACAACACAUGGUUUAGCCAUUCUAUUAAUGGACAUCUGGGGUUAUUUCCUGUUUAAACCUGUCAUAAAUAAAGCUGCUAAGAGCAUUCUUGUGCACAGGUUUUUGUUUUCAUUUCUUUGGGGUAAAUACAGGAGUGGAAUUGCUGGGUCAUAAGGUAGGGUUUUUUGUAAAAAUUUUUUAUUGUAAAACUUUUUUAAUGUUUAU
rnacentral:lncRNA from 1 species